rnacentral:rRNA from 1 species
GACGAACGCUGGCGGCGUGCCUAAUACAUGCAAGUAGAACGCACAGUUUAUACCGUAGCUUGCUACACCAUAGACUGUGAGUUGCGAACGGGUGAGUAACGCGUAGGUAACCUGCCUGGUAGCGGGGGAUAACUAUUGGAAACGAUAGCUAAUACCGCAUAAUAUUGAUUAUUGCAUGAUAAUUGAUUGAAAGAUGCUAUUGCAUCACUACCAGAUGGACCUGCGUUGUAUUAGCUAGUAGGUGAGGUAACGGCUCACCUAGGCGACGAUACAUAGCCGACCUGAGAGGGUGAUCGGCCACACUGGGACUGGGACACGGCCCAGACUCCUACGGGAGGCAGCAGUAGGGAAUCUUCGGCAAUGGACGAAAGUCUGACCGAGCAACGCCGCGUGAGUGAAGAAGGGUUUCGGAUCGUAAAGCUCUGUUGUAAGAGAAGAACGGGUGUGAGAGUGGAAAGUUCACACUGUGACGGUAUCUUACCAGAAAGGGACGGCUAACUACGUG